rnacentral:rRNA from 1 species
ACGUAGGGACCAAGCGUUGUUCGGAUUUACUGGGCGUAAAGGGCGCGUAGGCGGCAAUUCAAGUCAUCUGUGAAAUCUCCGGGCUUAACUCGGAACGGUCAGAUGAUACUGCUUUGCUAGAGUGCGGAAGGGGCAAUCGGAAUUCUCGGUGUAGCGGUGAAAUGCGUAGAUAUCGAGAGGAACACCUGAGGUGAAGACGGGUUGCUGGGCCGUCCCUGACGCUGAGACGCGAAAGCUGGGGGAGCGAGCGGGA